rnacentral:lncRNA from 1 species
UUAGCAACCACUUAUUAAAGUUUCCAAGGUGGAAAUGUGGACAAGACAUAUCAUCACAUUUGGGAAAAUCUUGAUAUUUAGAAGGAAAUUCCUUUUAGAAAGUUGAUCUCUAGCCCCUUGAUGAGUCAAUCCACAUAAGAGUUCUGGAGCCUCACAGAAAAAGUCUAAUGCCCCUUUAGCAUGCCUGUCUUUGAGAGAGUUGAAGUUUAGUGGUAUAGCUCCUUAGAGUUACUCUAUUUCCAAUCAAACACCUCCAUCCAUUUAUCCUCCAUUCCCUUAUCAUCUUUGCCACCAUGCUGACUAUCUUCCUGCGGAAGCCACAGACUGACAGUGCUCUUCCUAAAGCUUCAUCACUGAAAGGAAUUUCUCAACUAGAAAUUCUUAGAAGACUUUCUCAGAAAUAUGCUUGGUACAAGUUGUGAUGGAUGAGAGAGAAAGAAAGGAGGUAAUAGUGAAAGUUUAAUAAAUAAUCAAAACAAAAAUUUCAUCUGGAUCUUUCUUUUAAAGAACACAUUUUUGCCUUUCACCUACCAAGAAAGUGUCCUAAUGUCUAGCAAGUCAACAGCUGCUUUUGUUUUCAAAUGUCUGAUUGGCCAUGUGCAAUUUGUGAUUUGUAUUGGAAGAUUAGUUCCAUGACCACACGGAGAAAGCAAAAAUCUCUUUGGAAUAACACAGUGAAGAUGUUCCCACCCCAACUGUGAAACUCAGCAUUUUUCAGAAAGCUGAGAGAGAUUCUGGUGAAAGAGGCAUGCUGUUCUCCAGAGGAGGGUCACUUACAUUUCAACCACGAGGACAAAGCACGGUUUCA